rnacentral:rRNA from 1 species
CAGAUACUGACGCUCAGAUGCGAAAGCGUGGGGAGCAAACAGGAUUAGAUACCCUGGUAGUCCACGCUGUAAACGAUGUCUACUUGGAGGCUGUGACCUUUAAGCGCGGCUUCCGGAGCUAACGCGUUAAGUAGACCGCCUGGGGAGUACGGUCGCAAGAUUAAAACUCAAAUGAAUUGACGGGGGCCCGCACAAGCGGUGGAGCAUGUGGUUUAAUUCGAUGCAACGCGAAGAACCUUACCUACUCUUGACAUCCAAAGAAUCUUGCGGAGACGCUGGAGUGCCUUCGGGAGCUCUGAUACAGGUGCUGCAUGGCUGUCGUCAGCUCGUGUYGUGAAAUGUUGGGUUAAGUCCCGCAACGAGCGCAACCCUUAUCCUUGUUUGCCAGCACUUCAUGGGGGGAAUUCCAGGAAAACGGCCGGGGAUAAACCGAAGGAAGGGGGGGACGACUCCAAGUCAUCAGGGCCCUUACGAGAAGGGUUACACACGGGUUACAAUGGCCUAUACAAAGGGGAUCGAUCCCGCGAGGUGAACCAAAUCUCACAAAGUACGUCUAAUUCGGAAUUGAAGCCUGCAAUUCUCCUCCUUGAAUUCGAACCGUUAGAAAA